rnacentral:lncRNA from 1 species
CUUUUUUCGUUCUAAAAAUGUAUGUAUUAUAUAUUUAAAACAGCCGGCUAUUUUAUGAUUAAAAAUCUAUCCUUUUUGACAUAUUUAUUCAUAAGAAUCUGCUCUAAAAUCCAAAGUUAAGACUUUCCCGUUCAAUAUUUUCCAAAAGAGAGUAUUUCAACCAAAAUCUGCUCUUCACUAUUCAAAGAUAGACUUUUAUUUAAUAAGUGUCCAAAAGUAUAUAUUUCUUACCAAACAAAUAACUUUUGAGUUUUGUACUCAAAAAAGCCUUGGAGCAGUAAAUAAGCACCCAAACAAGUACCCUAUACUCUCAAGUAUUCCUUCAUUACCUCACUUUCAUCAGUACAAAAUUAUUCUACUACUUCAACAAGUGCAAAAAACAGAAAAUUUAGAAUUACAAUCUUCAAAAAACUAAUGGUGAAAUAAUUAAUAAGAGAUAAAAUAAAAUCUAAAAAACUAAAACUAAAAAUAAAAAAUCAGCAAUACCAAAAAAUAGAAUUUUUACAAUUCAAGUGGCUGAUACAAUGGUGGUAUGUUGAGCGAGGGUGUUCAGGGAGGUCGCCGAAAUUUGAUUGGAUUUUGGUGCCGGAUUCAGGGUAGAAUUGACAUUAAUAACUAGGUCUUGAGGUGCUCUAUUCGUUGAUGUAGGUAUUGUGUGGGUGGGACUGGUCGGAGCUUCAAGAAUUUGGGCAAAGGUGACGGCUAAAGUUUUUUAGAUCUAAGAUUCAAAAAGUUUGAGGUUUUUUUUGAAGGAUUUGGUUUGGAGAUAUGGAAAGAGGAGGUUGCAGAUAUUACAUUGUGUGAAUUUGGAGGUGUUUGGAGGUGGUCCGCCGCCGGUGGGCGAUUUCCGGUGGUGGCGAAGAGGCAACAAAGAGAGAGUGAAGAGAGAGAAAGGAAAAAAGAAUUAUCGGUGAAAAUAGGGAUAAUUUUCAGAUUUUUUAGUCUUUAAA